CGUUGUCCGGAUUCUUGGGCGUAAAGAGCUUGUAGGCGGUUUGUCGCGUCUGCUGUGAAAGGCCGGAGCUUAACUCCGUGUAUUGCAGUGGGUACGGGCAGACUAGAGUGCAGUAGGGGAGACUGGAAUUCCUGGUGUAGCGGUGGAAUGCGCAGAUAUCAGGAGGAACACCGAUGGCGAAGGCAGGUCUCUGGGCUGUAACUGACGCUGAGAAGCGAAAGCAUGGGGAGCGAACAGGACUAGAUACCCUGGUAGUCCAUGCCGUAAACGUUGGGCACUAGGUGUGGGGAACAUUCCACGUUUUCCGCGCCGUAGCUAACGCAUUAAGUGCCCCGCCUGGGGAGUACGGCCGCAAGGCUAAAACUCAAAGAAAUUGACGGGGGCCCGCACAAGCGGCGGAGCAUGCGGAUUAAUUCGAUGCAACGCGAAGAACCUUACCAAGGCUUGACAUAUACUGGACCGCAUCAGAGAUGGUGUUUCCCUUCGGGGCUGGUAUACAGGUGGUGCAUGGUUGUCGUCAGCUCGUGUCGUGAGAAG
rnacentral:rRNA from 1 species